GACUGUCGUAAGUCUUUAUAUAAUAAUGUGUAAUUAUAUACAUACACAUGCACAUAAUGUAUAUAUUUAUAUGUACAUGUACAGUUAUUUGCGAAUUAUAUAAACAUACAUACACAUGUAUUUCACUUUAACCAUGGUAUUAUUUACAGAAAUUAUGAAGAAGUACUUAUAAUUAUUUGAAAUGUUGAUAUUGAAGUUAUGUUUAUGUUGUUUGUAUUCAGAAGAUCUAUUUUUGUUUUAAACAUUGUAUAGAGCAAGUCUUUUUACUGUUGAAUAUCUUCACUUCCAUAAACCACAUAGCUAGAAAUGUUUGAUGGGACAAGUAUAGUAAUCUGCUUUGUCUAGGACAGAAUAUUAAUGUUAUGGCAGGGUCUGACCACAUAACUUAGAGUCUAGGGAUUUAUUUAAAUCCAGAGCCCUGGGGAUUUUUAUCUUAAGUUAUAUGCUGAUCUGUCUCUCUUGCUGUAUAUAUUUGUGUAAAGGGAAGUAGGCAGCCAAGUUGUUGAUAUAUUCUGUUAAAUGGAAUUAAUUAAAUUCCUUAAAAAUGUACAUUAGAUUCUUUAAAAGUGUACACAUACACAAAGAUACACCUCUUUCUCUCUCACUAUAUAUAUAUAUAUAAUGUGUGUAUGUGUAUAUAUAUAUAUAUAUAUAUAUAUAUUAUAUAUAUAUAUAUAUAUAUAUAUAUAAAACACGAUAUAAUAUAAUACGAGUAUUUAUUUGGACUUUAGGUAUAUGUUUAGUAGCAUGCUGAUUAAAGCACUGUCAUCGUUUAGGCUACCUGAUGUUAACCACAGUUAUGAUAUAAUAGUUACUGGAUCUACGUCAGGAAUUCCAGUGUUUGUUGAGUUUAUAAUGAAUGAGGGAAAGUAUAGCCAACAUCUUAUGGGCGACCACAACAUGCCAAGCGAAACUCAGUACAUAUAGCGAAGUAUCUUAUUUCAAACGUGACACCUGAUGAGAUCCAGCCUGCACUGAUGGAUGUAACACAACUAGCUGUACAAUAUCUCACCUGUAAGGGACAGCUGCAGGAUGGGUCGAAAUGAUAGUUGUGUUGAAUAAAGAUUCCUCCUAAUUCCAUUUUCUCUUUCCUUUCAUUCAUUAAUUCAUUUUAUAUAUAUACACAUAUAUAUACACACAUAUAUAUAUAGCCAACAUCAUGCAAAAAUGAUUUAUUUUAGUGUAUAAUAAAUUAUUAUAUAUGUCUGCACUAGGAUGUAUGCUAUAAAUUGCAUAGUACUAUUGUAGAUUUUUCAAAACAAUACAGAUAUAGAAGGGUAGCUCUUCAGGUCGACAGAAUAUCAUGGUUACAUCAAUUUUACAACUCUGGUAUACACCUACAAAAAAAAAUCAUUUCAAAUAUAUAAUGUAUGGUACAUAUAGUGUGUGUGUGUGUAUAAUUUAUAUGUAAUUGCAUCAAUAAAAGUAAGUAUUAAGUGUUUUAACUACAAAACUAAAUUUCAUGGUUAUUCCAGUAAUGUUGUUAAAUAUCUACCAAAACAUAGAACUGGUAUUUUCUGCAAGUCACAUUGCCUCAAUAAACUUGACAUAUAUCAACAAAAAAUAGUUACAAACAUUAUAUUCCUCAGCAAAAGACAGAUUUUUUAUAUUAAAACUGCUUUCUACAGUUGAAGGUACUGAAAAUUUGAUCCAGUGAAAAAGGGUUAAGUAAAAAUAGAUCUCUUUUAUUUUAUUUUUUUAAUUCUUGAGUAUUCAUUUUUUAGUUAGUGUUUGUAUAUUUUUUUUCAUUUACUCUAGUGUGUUAGUGUAGCAUUUAUCCAUGUGUUUGUGUGUUCAUCUUUUGAAUGCUUUCUUUGUGACACCACGCACUUAAGUAUUACAAAAUAAAUUUUUUGAAUUCUUUUAUUA
rnacentral:lncRNA from 1 species